UUAUCUGCAGUCGAGGGGCAGCAGGACUGUAGCAAUACAGUUGCUGGCGACCGGCAAACGGGUGCGGAACACGUACGCAACCUUCCUUCAAAUGGGGGAUAGCCCACCGAAAGGUGGAUUAAUACCCCGUAACAUUUUCUGGUGGCAUCACCGGAUUAUUAUAGCUCCGGCGUUUGAAGAUGGGCGUGCGCCUGAUUAGGUAGUUGGCGGAGUAACAGCCCUCCAAGCCUACGAUCAGUAACUGGUGUGAGAGCACGACCAGUCACACGGGCACUGAGACACGGGCCCGACUCCUACGGGAGGCAGCAGUAAGGAAUAUUGGUCAAUGGACGCAAGUCUGAACCAGCCAUGCCGCGUGGAGGAUGAAGGUCCUCUGGAUUGUAAACUUCUUUUAUCGGAGAAGAAACCCUCAAAUUCUUUUGAGGUUGACGGUACCCGAUGAAUAAGCACCGGCUAACUCCGUGCCAGCAGCCGCGGUAAUACGGAGGAUGCAAGCGUUAUCCGGAUUCACUGGGUUUAAAGGGAGCGUAGGUGGGAUGGUAAGUCAGUGGUGAAAUCUCCGGGCUUAACUCGGAAACUGCCGUUGAUACUAUCAUUCUUGAAUAUUGUGGAGGUAAGCGGAAUAUGUCAUGUAGCGGUGAAAUGCUUAGAUAUGACAUAGAACACCGAUAGCGAAGGCAGCUUGCUACACAAUUAUUGACACUGAGGCUCGAAAGCGUGGGGAUCAAACAGGAUUAGAUACCCUGGUAGUCCACGCCCUAAACGAUGGAUACUCGACAUACGCGAUACACAGUGUGUGUCUGAGCGAAAGCAUUAAGUAUCCCACCUGGGAAGUACGACCGCAAGGUUG
rnacentral:rRNA from 1 species